rnacentral:pre_miRNA from 1 species
UUUUUAGUACAAGUAUAUCCCAUAUAAGAUUUGGGACAUACUUACACUAAAA